UAAAUUGAGAGUUUGAUCCUGGCUCAGGACGAACGCUGGCGGCGUGCUUAACACAUGCAAGUCGAGCGAUGAAGUUCCUUCGGGAAC
rnacentral:ncRNA from 1 species